UUGACAUUCAUCUUAGUUGAGGAUCUUCUUCAUGAUAUAAAGAAGUGAACUGAGGAUAACAUUGUUGGAUGGCUAGAGAAACUAAAGACAUUUGCCACUCGAAAAUCAAGACUCCUGGCACAGAGCAGUAAAAACCAUGGAUCACCUGAUGUCCACGUUCCCAGCUAAAACGGAACAAGGCAAAUGCCUUGUGGUGUCGGUGCUCAAAAGACUACACGCCCAAGAAAACAUAUGAAGAUGGCGAGAAAACAUGGAAAACCUACAGUAGCAUAAAGGUCUAUUUCAAGCCGGCUGCUUGGGCUUUAGUUUCUUUGCCAGCAAAAUGGAGUUAGAACUGCUGAUGACACUCAUUUACCCCUGAAUAUGUUGUUCAACUACCAGGAUCUCUAUAUGUCAAAAGGAGCACCCUGCCGCCACCACCACCACCAAUCAGCAUUUCCCAGGCAGCCUGGAGAGCAGGAGAAGGGCUAGUCUGGCUGACCCCAUCUCCAGUGCUCCGAUGCAGCCACAGUUGGGUACCACACUCCUGAUUACCCUUCUC